AUGGCGGGGAUCCCGGUGAUCGACCUGCAGCUCGCCGCCGCGGCGCCGGAGGAGGCCGCGCGGCUACGGGACGCGGCCCAGCGCCUGGGCUGCUUCCGGGUGGCAGGCCACGGCGUGCCGCGCGUGCUCCAGGACGACAUGAAGGCCGCCGUGCGCGCCCUCUUCGACCUCCCCGACGACGCCAAGCGCCGCAACGCCGACGUCAUCUCCGGCAGCGGCUACGUCGCGCCGAGCGCCACGAACCCGCUCUACGAGGCGUUCGGCCUCUACGACGCCGCGUCCCCCGCCGACGUCGACGCCUUCUGCGCCUCCCUCCACGCGCCACCGCACAUCAGGGAGACCAUUAGAAGGUAUGCGGAGAAGACGCACGGGCUAAUCGUGGACGUGGCGGCGAAGCUGGCCGCGGGCCUCGGCCUGGAGGAGCCCGAGGCCGACCGCAUGUUCCAGGACUGGCCGUGCCAGUUCCGCAUCAACAGGUACAACUACACGCCGGACACCGUGGGGGAGACCGGCGUGCAGGUCCACACGGACUCCGGCUUCCUCACCGUUCUCCAGGAGGACGACCGCGUCGGCGGCCUCGAGGUGGCGGACCUGGACACCGGCGAGUUCGCGCCCGUGGACCCGGUCCCGGGCACCUUCCUCGUCAACCUCGGCGACGUCGCCACGGCGUGGAGCAACGGGGCGCUGCACAACGUGAGGCACCGCGUGCAGUGCGUGGCGGCGGUGCCGCGCGUCUCCAUCGCGCUCUUCUUGCUAGCGCCCAAGGACGACGUGGUCCGCGCGCCGGACGCCUUUGUCGGCGCCGGCAGCCACCGCCUCUUCAGAACUUUCGGCUACGACGACUACCGCCGGCUCCGGCAGUCCACCGGGGAGCAUGCCGGCGAGGCCCUGGCGCGGUUGGCCGCGUGA
rnacentral:rRNA from 1 species